rnacentral:rRNA from 1 species
GAUGAACGCUGGCGGCGUGCCUAAUACAUGCAAGUCGAGCGAACGGACGAGAAGCUUGCUUCUCUGAUGUUAGCGGCGGACGGGUGAGUAACACGUGGAUAACCUACCUACAAGACUGGGAUAACUUCGGGAAACCGGAGCUAAUACCGGAUGAUAUUUUGAACCGCAUGGUUCAAAAGUGAAAGACGGUCUUGCUGUCACUUAUAGAUGGAUCCGCGCUGCAUUAGCUAGUUGGUAAGGUAACGGCUUACCAAGGCAACGAUGCAUAGCCGACCUGAGAGGGUGAUCGGCCACACUGGAACUGAGACACGGUCCAGACUCCUACGGGAGGCAGCAGUAGGGAAUCUUCCGCAAUGGGCGAAAGCCUGACGGAGCAACGCCGCGUGAGUGAUGAAGGUAUUCGGAUCGUAAAGCUCUGUUAUUAGGGAAGAACAUAUGUGUAAGUAACUGUGCACAUCUUGACGGUACCUAAUCAGAAAGCCACGGCUAACUACGUG